UUAGCAUUGCCAUCCUGUAGCACUAUCCCUUUUUCUCCUCUACUAGAUCAACGUAACCAUCUAAUAACAUUUUGGUAGCUAUCUUCAAGCUACAAGAAAGUACAAGAUGAGUGCAUCCUCUUUCCUCAAUGAGAGUCAAAAUGAUACAGCAAGCUAAUAACAAUGGUUAAUAUAAACACAGAUGUCCAAGGGGGAAGAACAAAUCAAAACAGUUUGUUGGGGACAGAAGAGGCCACACAUUCACAAGGGUCUUGAAAGGAGCUGAACUUGGAGACAAGAAGAUAUGGUUUCAAAUUCUCUCUCACCACUUACUGACCCAGCUAAGUUACAUCUUAAAAAUAGAUCACAAUUAUAAAAAUAACUCUCAUAUUAUUCUUUUUUUAAUUUUUAUUAAGCCUUGCUUUCUUCAUGUGAAA